rnacentral:rRNA from 1 species
GACGAACGCUGGCGGCGUGCCUGACACAUGCAAGUCGGACGGUUCUUGCACCUUCAAGCUUGCUUGCUGGUGCAAGGAUAGUGGCGGACGGGUGAGUAACGCGUGAACAUCUACCCAUUGGAGGGGGACAACCCGUCGAAAGGCGGGCUAAUACCGCGUAAGCCGCGAGGUGAGAGGCUGCCUAUUGGUGGCCGCCGAUGGAUGGGUUCGCGUCCUAUCAGCUGGUUGGUGGGGUAACGGCCUACCAAGGCGAAGACGGGUAGCCGGUCUGAGAGGAUGGCCGGCCACACUGGAACUGAGACACGGUCCAGACUCCUACGGGAGGCAGCAGUGAGGAAUAUUGGUCAAUGGACGAGAGUCUGAACCAGCCAAGUCGCGUGAAGGAAGACGGUUCUAUGAAUUGUAAACUUCUUUUGUGCAGGAAUAAAGUGGGUUACGUGUAACCUUUUGUAUGUACUGUACGAAUAAGGAUCGGCUAACUCCGUGCCAGCAGCCGCGGUAAU